GGAGGAGAGAGCAGAGUAUACCGCAGACAUCAUUUCUACUACAGUGGCGGAGCCGUACAGGACCUGUUUCACUGCAGGGGGAUCCAAAACAAGCCCCGUGGAGCAGCAGCCAGAGCAACAGCAGCCGCAAGACAUUGUUUCUCUCCCUCUGCCCCCCCUUCCCCACGCAACCCCAGAUCCAUUUACACUUUACAGUCACAGAACAGAAAGUGCUGGUGGACAUCUCUUCUUGCCCCAAGAUCUUCGUUGGAAGUCCCCGGGACUUGGUGUCUUUGCCGUUCAAAGUGUUUAUGAACUCGCCAGGAGGCAUAAUGUGUCACCAUUUUAUUCUGGGCCACCCUAAAGGAUGACACCCAGCUUCAGAGACCUCCUCUUGGACGACAUCCCUGAGAAUCAAUGUUUUAGCUGUCCCAUAGUCUGACGUCUGCUUCCGACCGCUUUUGAGCUGGCGCAGGCUUAGUCAUUAAUGGCCAGGACGCUGUUAAAUGUUCUGCCUGAUUGGCUUGCAGCUACACACCUUUUGUCAUUUGCAGAGCAGCAACUCCCUCUUGAGCUCUUGGGGAGUCUUUACACAAAUACACUAGAAAAAAGGCACCCAUCCAUUUUUUUCCAUCUUGGCAUUAGCUCACAGGCAUAGUCCUGGGAUGACCUGGAGUAGAGGCAGUGGAGGAUAAAUUCAUCUUGCACAGACUUGUUUGUGCUAGUUCUAGCCUGUCUCUCGCCACAGAUCUAGCUUUUAAAUACUCAAGUGAUUGGUUUUGUGUAGGAAUGUGUGGAUUGUUGGAUUGGAAGAAUUUUCUCCCUGGAUUUCUAGUGUUUACAUAAGCAGAUAUAAAAAAAAUUUGAUCACUGAUUUAAAUAGCAGGGCUUAUUUUAAAAAGUUAUGGGUGCUUCAAGGUGGUACAGAAUAAAAAUGUCAGGGUUUUUUUUUGUUUUUGUUUUUGUUUUUAACAAGUCGUAACACAACCAAAAUGUAUAUAUUAAUGUUUUGUCAGGAAAGGGUCAAAAUGGAAAAUUUGCAACAAAGACAAACUAGAAUAGGACAAGUGCAAACAGAAGCUGACAAAUAUAUGCCCCUCGUUGGGAGUUCAGCCCAUGGAAUGUUAUGUAGGACAAAAGGAAUGGAAGAGAUAUUUCAGUAACAUUUUGUUCUCUGUCAAAAACCUUCUGAAAUAUAAAUCUGCUGUGUAUUGGAGAAUGGAUACAGCAAUUGAUUCAAGUUGAAUAGCUUUCAUUUAACUAGAAUAUCCCACAGAAAGCAGUUCUUGUUCUGACAACCAUAUUUUUGCUUUCUUUCACUUAAAGAAAAUUGAAUUCAUGUUUACAUAUCUUAUAGGGUUGUUUUAUGGACAAAGACACGGGUCAAACCCCAUCACAGUGGCUAGUGUUACAACAAAUAGAAACAUUUCUAAAUGAAAUAACAUUUCUAAGCCAGGGCCAGUGCCUGCAGUAAUAAUACUAGGUUGGUAUUAUGAAGCCAUUUGCAACUAUAAAUAAUUCAGUCAUAGAUGUGCUUUUUUUAAAAUCCUGGUUUUUAAAAAUUCUAGUCUUUUGCCAAUACACACACCCAUACACAUACUUCACCUAUUUGCAUAAUAGAGGAGGAAUAUGAAUAUGUAUAUAAUAAAGUCACUUUAUUUUGGACUUUCUGAAA
rnacentral:sRNA from 1 species